CCGCACCUGCUUCUAGAGAUCUGCGGAGCUGUCAACACGGUCUAAGGGAGACAAGGGGACUGUGGCUCAUCUCAGUACUGGGAUCGCGAAGAGGAAGGCGCAGGGAAAAGAGAUCUUGGAGUAACUGUCCUGGAGUGAUGGAAGACCUCGGAACCAGAUCGUCCCUUCCUUCACAGUGCACAGAAAUGGGGAAACUGAGGCGGGGCGGGGAAGCAGAUCAGGAGCAGUAUUUAAUGAUACACACACACCCAGGGCGAGGUCCUGACGGGUUGGGAUCCCGGUGCAGGUAUCCAGACUCCGGGACUAAGCUGUUGGCCACCUCGCCUUACGCCGCAGGCGUCGCUCAUAUGGCUCAGCUGACGCUGGGCGGUGCACACUGAGGAGACGUUGGCACGUCCUGCCCUCUCGCCAUCCUGCCCACAGGGUGACCGAUUCCCUUGUGACGUCAGGCGUCCAGCGCAAGGCGUGGAAACAGACUGACAGGAGAGUCUGCGUGGGGAGGCACAGGUGGAUUCUGCCGCGCGCCGGUGGUGACAACAGGUUCUAGACAAGGCACUGGGAGCAGAGGGUCAUGUGGCUCAUGAUAAUACAAAAUGUCCUGCCAGGGAAAAAUCAAGGGAAAAUAUGUGGUGUCUUCCAUUUCCGGGGACACUUGCUGGAAGUGGCUCUGUUCAACAUGUGUAUUUACUGCGCUGCACCCUGGUGGGAGAGUGCUCCAUUGCUGCCUGCUGUCACAGAGCACCAUCGCAAGCCUCUGCCCUCACCGACAGAGGAACAGGAUAGAAGCAACGGUUUUCUGCUGGGUUACUUCCCAAUUCUGAGGCUUUGGUGCCAGUGUGUUCCUAGCCUGUGACCACUGUGUGAUUAGGCCCAGGAUGGGGAAGGAACUGCCUUAAUCUCUUCUAGUCUCCUGGCUGGUUACCUAGUUACCUGACUCUCAGUUCCCUUGCUUCUAGUGGUACCCCACCCAACACACAGUUGACUGAGAAGCAAGCUAACCCCAUGUCUAGUUCAGAUGGUUCUGGAUGAUUACAGGAUGAGCACAUACCAUGAAGACAGCACUAGACCACUUCAGCCGUCACCCAGAGUCCCCUAGACACAAAGGAUUCUAUCUAGGAGGGCAGAGGACCCAAGUCUGGCAGCUGGUAGGCCAACUAGUUGAGGAACAGUGUCUCUGAUCCUCAAGAUGAUUUCAAUGAUGCCCCUCCUGGUCAGGACAUUUUAGGAGUGGGUGCACACCUGUGACAGCCACGCCUCUCAUGGGAAGUCAGCCUGUGAAGGAAGUCACAUUCAGGACAUCCUGCAAGAGUGAGCCCAGAGCCCCUGGAUCAGGCCAGUCCUGAGAUCUACCUCUAACCUUUAGGGCCAGAGCCAAUGGAAACCUUUCUGUUUGAGCCAAGUGGACUUGAGCUUUUCUUGUUUUGAACACCCUUCCUGAGCUCCCAGAUCAUCAGGUUUUUACUCCAAUGGAAUGAAUAAAUGCCAGUGAGAUUAGGCA